CCUCAUCUGUUAGCAUCAGCCGUCAAUAACAUGAAGCAGCAAGCUCCGAUUACAACAACAACAACCAAGUACAAUCAUACUUAGUGGGAUUUAGGGAGAGUAUUAUGUAGAUAGACCUUACCCUAGUCUUGGGUAGAGAGGCUGUUUUCAAAUAGAAACCCGGCAUCUUUCCCUCCAAGAAGUUUCCACCUUGCUCUUAGAGAGAUUCGAACUCAC
rnacentral:lncRNA from 1 species